rnacentral:misc_RNA from 1 species
AUACUUUCGGUUUCGGUUUGACCGAAAAUGACAAGUGCACAGCCAAAUGGAAGAAUCCUUCUUCAGCAGUGUUUGUCCGCUAAACUUAUGGUUCAACCAGCAACGGAAGAUGAGGAGGCAAAAUAUGUAACACGAAGGCAGCCUUGAACACAAGAUUGAGUGAUGCAAAGAAUGGGAAGCUGGUGUCUGUCCUUGACCUUCCUGGGGAUGUCCUUAUUAUUCCACAGGCGACCUUGGGCGGGAACCUAAAGGGCAAGGUCAUGCAGUACCAUAGAAACAUUAACAAGGAAGAGGGAGAAAAUCUGUACCGUGCAUUUGUUGACCUUUGUAGAAAAACAGUUCAAGGUCAAGAGAAAUCAAAGGAUUGUGAUGUUAAAGCAGGGACCUAUGGAAACCGACAAGUGUUCUCUACUGACACUAAUGGACCUUUCACACAUCUUAUAGAGUUCUGACAUAAUAUUGACACACUUGUUGAUUACUUUCUAAUUUAUUACUGAUUUACUAUUGAUUCAUAUAAAUUCUUCAUUCAAAAAUUCAUUGUCAUCAAUGAUGGCUUAUAAUGCUAUCCAAUAAAAGAAAAAAGAUC